GGUGCAGGAAGCGGGUUACAUUGGUGACUAUGCCACGUGUUUGCUCCUGGCCACCUAGAGUUGCCCUUGUCAUCUGGGAAUGUCUCCGAUAUUGUUUUCCAGAAUAGCACAGAACCGGCUUUCUCUGGCCUGAGCUGGCUCCUCUGCUGACCACCUGGUCUCAGAAGGCUGACAGUCUCCUGGCGUGUCCUCACCCAUAGCUUUGAAGACUAAUUCACCUUUUAACUCCUAGUUUUUGGAAUGGCGUCCACUCCGAAGCUGGAGAGCUGCCUUGGACCUUAUUGUCCUUUAGAGGUGUCCACUCCUUAGUCCUAAGGGGACCCUCUUUCUCAUGGGGGUCCCUAACUAGUCCUGGGAUAGAAAAGAGACCAGGAGAGGACAGAUCAGGGGCCAGGCAGGGACGGGGGAGGGACAGGUGUCCUGUGUUCCAUUAAGUGGAUCCUCGGUGCUCAGGUAAGCAGGGAGCAGCGUCCUCGGAGAAGCCGGGACAGUCAGACAGGUGCAGUAGCUAAGGCAGGCUCCGUGGCCUGGCACUAGUGACGUCUGCAGUGAGGUGGUUCUUGUCGUGGGGAUGCCCUCACCAUUAGCAGCAUCCCGGAUCCCCACACACCAGGUGCCAGGAGCACUCCUGCAUCCCUCCAGUCAAAAUGUCUCCAGGGGCUGGGGACGUGGCUCAGUGGCAGAGGGUGAACUGGGCAUGCGUAAGGCCCGGGUUCCAGCCUAAAAAAAAAAAAAAAAAAAAUCUCCAGACAUUGUUAAAUGUCCCCUAAGGUCAGAAUCACCCUGGACUGAGAAUCACAGAGCUGAUUAAACCUCAGCACUAACAAAACAAAGGAAUUGCUCAGGCCCCGGGAAUGGGCUCUCCAGAGCUUUCCCCCUCCCUCCAGGCUGCCUGGCUAGGCCCCUGCCACCCCCCUUGGCAUCCAGCUAGACAAUGGCCCGAGGACAGUCAGGCAGUGUGAGAGACUUUAGGGGCCAGGCCUGGACAUGACCACCCCCUGUGUACCAGUGCACAGGCCACUGGCCCAUGUGACAGCACAGGAUAAAUCUGGCCCCAGAGUGAGCAAGGAGACUCCAGACCUGGCAGGCUGCCAGCCCACCUGCACCUCCUCUUUCCUGGCUUCCACCCUGACUGCUGUGGGCCCCCCUCGAACCCAGCCAGUCCCUCCUCCCAGCCUCAGUUUCCUUCUCAGGGAUGGAUCCCGGAAACAGGGCAGACAGAAAAAGAAGACACAAAAUACUGUGUGAGUCCCUUUGUGUGCAGUGUCCAGAGCAGGCAAAUCUAGAGUCAGGAAGGUGAGCGGUGGCCAGGGGCAGGGGUGGGGAAGCAGGGAGUAGCCGUGGAGUAGGCCUAGGGUUUCCUCUGGAGGGUCUGCAGAAUGCUCUGGAACUGGACAGAGGUUCUGAGUGUCCUAGAUGCUCCUGGCUUACAUACAUUCAAAUGGUUUCUUGAGUGUUUUGAGAAUUUUACUUCAAUUUAAAAAAGGAGAGUCCCUUCGGGUUCCAAGUUGAGUGAUUACUUAAGAUUCAGGCAGGGCAGGAGCCAGGCUAGGGCUAAAAGUGGAAAAAUGGGUUCAGUUCUCCCCGAGGACACACUCUGGAUAAAUAAGUAAACAAAAGGCUUUGCCCAUUGAAUGAGCACCACACAAGCAACCUGCGUGAGCUGUAAACCCUCCAUAAAUGUGAGCGAAUGUCACCACUCUUUGCAACCUUCUCGGUAUUCUCCUAAAUAGAGCUUGGGCCGGACUGGACCCGGAGUGAGCAAG
rnacentral:lncRNA from 1 species